GUUAUACGUAAGAAGCGAGCGUAUUCUGAUUUACUGGUGUUAUAGGAGCGUAGACCGCAACGACAAGUCCAGGAAGUGAGCCUAUUCGCUCAUCGAUAGGCAUGCCUUUUGUAACUGUGAUGCUAGAGUGCAGCAGAGGUAAGUGAAGUCCUAGUGUAGCGUGAGACGCGUAGAGAUUAGGAGGAACACCAGUCGCGAAGGCGGCGUACUGGACUGUAACUGACGUUGAGGCUCGAAAGCGUGGGGAGCAAACACGAUUAGAUACCCUGGUAGUGCACGCGGUAAACGAUGAAUACUAGGUGUUGGGGUCCAAAGGACUUCGGUGCCGUCGCAAACGCAAUAAGUAUUCCACCUGGGGAGUACGUUCGCAAGAAUGAAACUCAAAGGAAUUGACGGGGACCCGCACAAGCGGUGGAGCAUGUGGUUUAAUUUGAAGCAACGCGAAGAACCUUACCAGGUCUUGACAUCUCCCUGACAGCACUUGUAAUGAGUGUUUCCUUCGGGACAGGGAAGACAGGUGGUGCAUGGUUGUCGUCAGCUCGUGUCGUGAGAUGUUGGGAUAAGUCCCGCAACGAGCGCAACCCUUAUGAUCAGUAGCCAGCAGGUAAGGCUGGGAACUCUGAUGAGACUGCCGAGGAGAACUCGGAGGAAGGUGGGGAGGACGUCAAAUCAUCAUGCCCCUUAUGAUCUGGGCUACACACGUGCUACAAUGGCGGAAACAAAGGGAAGCGAAGCCGUGAGGUGAAGCGAAUCUCAGAAAAUCCGUCUCAGUUCGGAUUGUAGUCUGCAACUCGACUACAUGAAGCUGGAAUCGCUAGUAAUCGCAAAUCAGCAUGUUGCGGUGAAUCCGUUCCCGGGUCUUGUACACACCCCCCGUCA
rnacentral:rRNA from 1 species